rnacentral:lncRNA from 1 species
UAGUGCCAACAGGUAUGGUAAAUGACUCUUGGUAAAAAAUCCCGAUAAAAUGUAAAUAACACAACUUCAAACACAUUUUACCACAGCAGUGUAUUUGUUAAACUCUAGGAAAACACUUUAGUGCACGAACUAUGAAUUUUGUGUCUAAAUGAACCUACUUAUGGAUAAUUUUUCUACGAGACCACACCAAAACAACGACAGCCAUUAAUACGUGGAUGAAC